AGAAAAAAUAACUAAAGUGAAGAUAAGUCUCGACAGUGACAUCACUUUAAAUGGCAGAUGCAACCUUACACUCAACUGCAUCGCAGAAGAUGGUUCUAAUGUCUCCUAUUCAUGGACAGUCCCUAAUAACAAUCCCUCAUUUUACAGUGGAGCCAACCUCCAUGUCAGUCUGCCAGUGACUAAUGAAGGGAUGUUUAUUACUUGCAAAGCCAGCAAUCCCAUCAGUAGCAAAAUAUAUAAUUUUUCUACGAGAGAGGUUUGUAGAGUACCAAAUAAUGCUCUAGUUCAUAUCAAUUGGGAAAUAAUCCGACUUAUUGUUGGUGGCUGUAUUUGUCUUUUCGCUUUUACAGGAAUAAUCAUUUGUGAGACCUGUGUAUAAAAAAAUAAUAAAACCACAAAGUCUUCAAAGGAUAAAGGAACCACUAACCAAAAAACUACCCAGCUUCUGCCAUUCUUGGAGGAUGCAGAAAUGACUAGAAGCCCCUUAACAGAAAUGGACAUAAUUUGGAAAAUGUUUGCAAUGCUUUCAGUGAAGAGAACUUCAGUCUUUUUGUCCCAUGUUAUUCCUCACGAAGCCUGCAAUUUGCAAAAGACUUAUAAACUAAAAACAGUAGGCAGCUUUAACAUCCUUGGAGCCUACAGAGAAGACUGGAAUUACUUCAUCAGAGACUGACUUUCUCUGGAAAGCCCCUGCAAUGCUGUUAGUGAUGAAACUUUUAAUGUUUCCAUUUCAUGUUACUCAGUGUAAAGCUUCGCCAUAUUUUACAUAACAUCACUUUAACACUUUAGGAAAAUAUUGCAGUUCUAAAUAUGUAUUGUACAUAUUCGUGAUUAUUAAUGCACUGCUGAAAAAUUCAGUGUGUAUACCUUCAUAUGUCAAAUGUAUAUGCAUUAAGACUUGAAGACAUUACUGUU